UUUAACGGCCGCGGUAUCUUGACCGUGUGAAGGUAGCGUAAUCAUUUGUCUUUUAAAUGAAGACCUGUAUGAAUGGCGCAACGAGAGCUUAACUGUCUCACUCUCUCAGUCAAUGAAAUUGAUCUCCCCGUGCAGAAGCGAGGAUAAAAACAUAAGACGAAAAGACCCUAUGGAGCUUUAGAACCUGAAACAGCCCUACUAAACUUAAUACUCUAAUUAUUUUUGGACCCUGUUUCUAUGUUUCUUCGGUUGGGGCGACCAUGGAGAAAUAUAAACCUCCACGAAAAACACUAAGUGUUUAUUUAACCCAAGAGCAACUACUCUAACUCCCAGAAUAUCUGUUUACUAAAGAUCCGAUUCUACAACUAAAUCGAUCAACGAAACAAGUUACCCUAGGGAUAACAGCGCAAUCCCCUUUUAGAGCCCACAUCGACAAGGGGGUUUACGACCUCGAUGUUGGAUCAGGACAUCCUAAU
rnacentral:rRNA from 1 species